AUGGGGUUUUUCCUUUCUUUCUUUCUUUCUUUCUUUUUUUUUUUUUUCUUUUCCUCUCUUUCCAGUGGGGCUAAAGCCAGCAGGGAAUCUUCAUUAAAAUUCACCAUAAGGCCCAUUUGUUGGCAAUUUCCCUCCUCCCAGCUACUAUAUCCCUCCUAUCCUGCUGUGAACUCUUUGCAGAGCAGAGGAAUGACCCAUGGAAAUCUCACUGCCGCAUUGGGGUGCUCAAUCCAGGGAAACAUUCAAAGCUGCUCCUGUCUGUCAGCUAAAGAUGACAAAUAUUUAUCAUCUCUGGACACCCCUCCAGACAACUCCAAUUUUUUACUUGCUAAAUUAGAGGAGUAUAAUUCCAAAUUCACCUACACCUCUGAAAUAUGUACUCCAGUCAUGAAGCAGAGAAUGUUAUAG
rnacentral:lncRNA from 1 species